CGGUGCCGGUGACGGUGACGCCGCUGCCCGGCGGGAACGCGACCCUCCUGAGCCGCCGCCGCACCAGCUCCGUCAUGUCGCCGGAGUGCUCCUGCGAGCGCAGCGAGCUCUGCCCCGGUGCGACGCCGGCGUUCAGGGAGGCUCACCUGGGUCAUGCGAGGGCGGGAGCGUGCCGUGUGCCGCACCGCGGCGGCAGCGCAGGAGAUCAGCCGAUGCAUGUCGUGGGCGUCGUACAAGGCGUCAAGCUUUGGAUCGAUCAGAUCGUCGUAGACAUGCUGCUCUAGAGCUUUUGUCAGCUGAGGCCUUGCCUGCAUCGUCCAAAACAUAAAAGAAGAACAAAUUUAGUAGUCCUUACAGUUACAGAAUAAUCAGCCAUUAGUUAACGAGAUGUAACGCGAUGCUGUCACUGAAUCCACAAUAUAUAUAUAUUUUUUAAAAAAUGAAGUCAGAAGUCAGAAUUGGAUUGUACUAUGACACUGUACUAGUCUGUUGAAAAUCUGAUAGCAAGAAGUGGACCUGCAGGGGUUAAGUUUCGACAAAGUAUCAUGUCUAAAAGUUUUUUAAAGUCAUAGCCAGGCGGGGGCGGAGCGAGAGUAUAUUACGGGGGUGUACAGGAACCCAUGCAAGAAAAAUGUUUAGCUAUACCUUAUUUAUUUUCACCAUGCACCCCCUUCAAUACAAACUUAGACACCUGUAUCAACUUAAACUCAAUCUAAAAUAGAGUAAAUUAAACAAG